rnacentral:rRNA from 1 species
UGGGAAUUNGAAGCAUGUUGUUUAAUUCGAUAACCCACGACAAAUCUUACCACUUCUUGAAUAUUAUUUAUCUUAAUAUAUGAUAAUGUUUAUAUUAUUUAUAAUAUAAUAAAGAGUAUAUUAUCAAAAUAAUACAGGUGUUGCAUGGCUGUCUUUAGUUCGUGUUGUGAAAUGUUAGGUUAAUUCCGAUAACGAACGCAACCCUUAUUUUUAAUUAUAAAUUAAAAAAAAAUAAAUUUUGUAAUUUAAUUUAAAAAAAUAUCUUUCUAUAAGAAAGAGUAAUUAGGAUGAAGACAAGUCCUCAUGACCCUAAUGAAGUGGGCUACAGACGUGCCACAUAGAUUUCAACAAAAGGAUGCAAAGAUGAAAAUUAGAGCUAAUCCUGAAAUAAAAUCUUAGUACGGAUAAGAGUCUGAAACUCGAUUCUUUGAAAA